GUAUGAUGAGACCUUCAGCUGGCACCAGUCAUAGGGCGACUUGUACUCCCUUCCUGUGAUGACAACACUAUUUGCUGUGGUCCACUGGACCAUUUCUGAC
rnacentral:snoRNA from 1 species